GCCCCAGUAGCCCAAUGGCAGAGGCAGCGGACUUAAAAUCUGUGUGUUGUGGGUUCGAGUCCCACCUGGGGUACAA
rnacentral:tRNA from 1 species